UACGAAGGGGGCUAGCGUUGUUCGAAAUUACUGGGCGUAAAGCGCACGUAGGCGGAUCCUUAAGUCAGGGGUGAAAUCCCGAGGCUCAACCUCGGAACUGCCUUUGAUACUGGGGAUAUCGAGUCCGGGAGAGGUGAGUGGAACUGCGAGUGUAGAGGUGAAAUUCGUAGAUAUUCGCAAGAACACCAGUGGCGAAGGCGGCUCACUGGCCCGGUACUGACGCUGAGGUGCGAAAGCGUGGGAGCAAACAGG
rnacentral:rRNA from 1 species